GGCGUAACAGUUCAAAAAAGGAAACAGUGCUCAGAAUCUGUCAUUGAUAAAGUUUGAGCUGCUCGUGAGGAUCCGUGAUGUUUCUAUGCAAUGUCUGCUUGAUUCUUCUCUUUUCAGGUGAUGUACGUGGAGAAGGAAUUGCACCUCUCUCCUCAUCUGAACUUGUUAACAAUGGAGACUCCAUCACUUUGGCCUGCAAAUACAACGGGUCUUACAGCACUGAUUCUCUCCUGUGGUACCGUCAGUCCAGCAGCUCGAAACCAGAGUUUUUAUUUCUGGUUACUGAAGCCAAUCUUGAGCAGCCAGCUGACCCUCCAAUACCUGGACUGUCUGCUAAAAUAAAUGAGGAGAAAAACCGUGUGGAUCUGAAGAUCUCCUCUGCAUUGUUUAUAGACUCUGCAAUGUACUACUGUGCCCUGAAGCCCACAGUGACAGGAAACACAAAACCACUGUACAAAAUUAAGACUCAACAACUAAGCUAACUGAUGAACUACACUAAAUAGUAAAUCUGUGUCUUUAUUGUAUGAUGCUCUAAAAUAUAUAUUUGCGUAAUCCUGCAACCACAACAUGUACAUAACUGGAAAGCUAAGCAGAUCAAGGACAAGCAGUUUAAAAUUGUGUUUAAGUGAUUUGAGGUAAAAACAAAUAUAUAAUAUAUAAAUGCUGUGAAAGUUGCUGUGGCAGGCAUAUACAGUGUGAUUAAAUUGUUACCUGUCAGUGAUAGUGGCAAUACAGGUGCUUUUUCUCAUCUAUUACUUAAGUGAUAGACACUGUACUAAAGACAUUCAUGUGACUCAUAUAGGGUGGAGUUUUGUGUCUCUGAAUGGAUCUCACAAAAGUGCAGGUGCACCUAAAUGAUGAAACAGACAUCUUGAUUUUGGCAUCUAAUACAUCAACCAUUAUGUUUAUUUACACUCUUAUGGCUUUGUGGAUUCAUCUGGGUGAGACAGAGGCAAAUGCAAUCUUCCCACUAUCACCUAAAAAGAGUGCUGUUUUGGAUGGAAGUGUAAACAUAUCCUGUAGUUACAAAGGAUUCACUGGAAGUGUGCUAAAUGUGGAGUGGUACAGACAAUAUUCCGGAUCCAAACCAGAGUUCUUAAUCAGAAUAUAUCUACAUGGACCUUUGGGAAUGGCAGUUCCAAUUAUACCACACUUUGCAGGAAAAAUUUAUCAAGACGUCCAACAAGUGGAUCUAAAGUUGUCACACAUUCUUUGGGAAUAUGCAGCUGUGUACUACUGUGCCCUGGUGACCACAGUGACAGGAAACUAAGAGUUUCCUAUACAAACACUUUAGAUUUAAGGCAUUUAAAGUCACAAUUAAAAGAUUCUCUCUUUUGGAGAAUCUGUUGAUUUCAAAAUCUUACAUGACAUAAUUUGUGUAUUUCAAUAGUGCUCUUAAAGGUGCAGUAUGUAAUUUUUAUGAGGAUCUAUUGACAGAAAUGCAAUAUAAUAUACAUACAUACAUGGUGUAUGUGUGAAUAAAGACCUUACAUAAUGAACUUUUCAUUAUUUCAUAUUUAUUACCUUAGAAUGAGCCAUUUCUAUCUACAUACACUGCAGGUCCCCCUCAUGUAAAGUCAUCAUUUUGUGUGGGCAAGUUUCUACAGCAGCCCUAAAUGGACAAACACUCACUAUGUUUGUUGGUGUUUUGCAUCAUCACUAUGUUGAAUACACAUGAAUAAGAAGUAGUAGUAGUAGUCGUCUGGUUUAUUAGAAGCAGGGUCCGUUCUUUGUUAGAAGUAAGAAGAAACCUCAUUGCUUGACUGGCUACUCACAAUUCGCAAUUCGCAACCUCACCGCUAGAUACCACUAAAAUUUACAUACUGCACCUUUAAGUUUAGCAAACAAGUAAAUUCUGUGGUCAAAUCAAGCUCCCUGCACGAGCUUUGGCCAAUGUGAAGACAUUUCUGUCUUUUAUUCAUCUGACUCAUAGGGUGGAGUUUUGUGUCUCUGAAUGGAUCUCACAAAAGUGGAGGCGCACAUAUUAUAUGAUGAAACAGACAUCUUGAUUUUGGCAUCUAAUACAUCAACCAUUAUGUUUAUUUACAUACUUAUGACUUUAUGGAUUCAUCUGGGUGAG